UGGAACUAUAAAUAUUAAUUUUAGUGUGUGCUUUUGUUAACACACAUUUUAUUGGCAUGGUAACACAGAAAAUUGGGCAUCAUCACACCUGACCACACCACACAUUAACUUUCUGAGAAAAUAGGGAUGAUUAUAUCAUAGAAAUAAAGAGACUUUCUAGAACUCCUGCCGCAGGGGAGGGAAUAAAACCCUGGCUCCUUUCUUCCUUUCAGUAACUCUUUGUGGUUGGUAUUACCAUGACGCUCAUCCUGAAGAUGAGAAAAGCAGGUGCCGGGAUGGUAAGUUACUUAACACAGUAACAGAAGAGGCCAGCAAGAAAACCCAGGGAACAGGCGCUAGGCAGCAUAUAUAGAAAUAUGCAUCCUCUUGACCCUACUAAUUUCAAGCAUUUAUCCUAGCAACUUUGAGCUUGGUGCGUUGUGGUCUGCCUCUGAUUUGAGAAGAAACAGUCAUUAGCAGGGACUAGAGGAGUCUCUCAACAGUAUGUUCUAACCAUGAUGUCUCUCCACAGGUCUAAAUGGAAUAUGACCAACUGACCAUGGGAUAGUAGCUCCAAUCUGAGCCCAAAUCACCCACUUCUGUUUAUAGGAUGUUAAUCUUAGAUAUUUCAUUGAUGGUACAGAAAGCUCACAACAAAUGCAUACAUCCCGGCCCUCCACCCCCCACCCAGACCACCAAGGACAUCUCCUUCUGUCAGAGAACAGACCUCUGCAGUGUUCCACAGUCAAAAAGGAAAAUGAAGAGGCAACUGGACCGAGUCACAAGGCCCCUUGGAAAUAACUGAAUGAAAAUUAAAUCAAACCUGAGUUGCUUUCAUUCUACAGAAUCUACUCUACUCACAUCCUCAGUCCCUCUUGGACCUCUUCCCAUCUCUUUUUGAGUCAGGUAAAGACUUGCCAUCACCAUCUCACCAUCUUCCUUGGCCUCCGACUAUAGAACCACGCUUGCCUUCCUGACUUCCGUGUUCUUCCAGUACAUUCAUCUGUCCGUGGGUCAGCAUCAUGCUUCACUCUGAAGAGCCACGCUACAGGAGAUGAAGGGGGAUCCUGCUAUCGGUGAAUCCAUGUUAAGUGGGGAGGGCGAAAAACCAAUGAAAUAAAUAACCUGCACAUAAGCCAUAAAA